GGAUCGCGGCGCGUGGGCGGUUCGCUGCCCGCGACGUUGUGAGAAGUCCACUGAACCUUAUCAUUUAGAGGAAGGAGAAGUCGUAACAAGGUUUCCGUAGGUGAACCUGCGGAAGGAUCAUUG
rnacentral:rRNA from 1 species